AAUCAUCAUACCUGAAUCCACUCAUUAUGCUGCUAUGGGCCUGAUGACAUAGAUUUCAUUGCUGAGUGAUACUGCAUUGUACUUAGAAUCAUCAUACCUGAAUCCACUCAUUGUGCUGCUACGGGCCUGGUGACAUAGAUUUCAUUGCUGAGUGAUAUUGCAUUUUAGAAUCAUCAUACCUGAAUCCACUCAUUAUGCUGCUACAGG